AUUGAACGCUGGCGGCAGGCCUAACACAUGCAAGUCGAGCGGAUGAAGGGAGCUUGCUCCUGGAUUCAGCGGCGGACGGGUGAGUAAUGCCUAGGAAUCUGCCUGGUAGUGGGGGAUAACGUCCGGAAACGGGCGCUAAUACCGCAUACGUCCUGAGGGAGAAAGUGGGGGAUCUUCGGACCUCACGCUAUCAGAUGAGCCUAGGUCGGAUUAGCUAGUUGGUGGGGUAAAGGCCGACCAAGGCGACGAUCCGUAACUGGUCUGAGAGGAUGAACAGUCACACUGGAACUGAGACACGGUCCAGACUCCUACGGGAGGCAGCAGUGGGGAAUAUUGGACAAUGGGCGAAAGCCUGAUCCAGCCAUGCCGCGUGUGUGAAGAAGGUCUUCGGAUUGUAAAGCACUUUAAGUUGGGAGGAAGGGCAGUAAGUUAAUACCUUGCUGUUUUGACGUUACCAACAGAAUAAGCACCGGCUAACUUCAUG
rnacentral:rRNA from 1 species